CCUACGGGAGGCAGCAGUGAGGAAUAUUGGUCAAUGGGCGGAAGCCUGAACCAGCCAAGUAGCGUGCAGGAUGACGGCCCUACGGGUUGUAAACUGCUUUUGUACGGGAAUAACGCGCCUUACGUGUAGGGCUUUGCAUGUACCUUAUGAAUAGGGACCGGCUAAAUCCGUGCCAGCAGCCGCGGUGAUACGGAAGGUCCGGGCGUUAUCCGGAUUUAUUGGGGUUAAAGGGAGCGUAGGCCGCAUGUCAAGCGUGCUGUGAAAUGUCCGGGCUCAACCCGGGCCUUGCAGCGCGAACUGGCGUGCUUGAGUCCGCGGAAGGCAGGCGGAAUUCGUCGUGUAGCGGUGAAAUGCUUAGAUAUGACGAAGAACCCCGAUUGCGAAGGCAGCUUGCUGCAGCGGAACUGACGCUGAUGCUCGAAAGCGCGGGUAGCGAACAGGAUUAGAUACCCGGGUAGUC
rnacentral:rRNA from 1 species